rnacentral:rRNA from 1 species
UACGGUGGGGGCAAGCGUUGUUCGGAAUUACUGGGCGUAAAGGGUUUGUAGGUGGCUUGCUAAGUCAGACGUGAAAUCCCUCAGCUUAACUGGGGAACUGCGUCUGAGACUGGUGAGCUUGAGUGCAGGAGAGGAACGCGGAAUUCCAGGUGUAGCGGUGAAAUGCGUAGAUAUCUGGAGGAACACCGGUGGCGAAGGCGGCGUUCUGGACUGCAACUGACACUGAGGAACGAAAGCCAGGGGAGCAAACGGG